CAACAGCCAACCAGACCCUAGGCUGACCAAACGUGAGGAGGUUAAUCAAAGCUCCCCCUCAAAUUAACAAGCAUGGAAACUCCACACUAAUAUCCAUGCAUUGUACACAAAUGUCUCAACAUGACAUACACCAUCCCUACCAGUGGCACUAACUCUAUGAGUUAUACCUAUACAUACUCCAAUCACACCAAUCAGACUCCAGCUGACCAUAAGUACUAGUGAAAAAACAACACCAGUCAAUAGUAGAUAUGCAUUGCCAGAGCAUACAACCUCAACCAGCCUCUGAAUCUUCAUAUUCUCACUCCUUGAAGGAACUGCCACUUCUGAUCGUGGUGUUUGAAUAACAAGAUUCAUGGUUCCAAUCCUCUUAAAUGAAAUAGAAAUCAGGUUACCCCAUUAUUGACUUCUAACAUCCAGAGGGCUUGUCUUCCCACACAACAUAGUACUCCAGAGAACAGCUAUCCAGCCCUGAUCAAUCUACAGGAAUAGGACAAACAACAGGAAAUUGCACAAUGUCACAUCUCAACCAGCUCCACUUCUAGAGAUUAGACUUCUAAAAGUGACCUUCUUGAUCACACACACAGUUGACCCUACCCUUGUCACUUUAACACACACAGAUGUCUCCUCUUCCAGGUCAGGAGUAGGUUCCAAACAAAAGUAUCUCUUUGUUUGACGCCUAAAACCAUCUGCUCUUCAACCAGUAGGUGCAUACUUGUUGAGCAGCAUGAUCUAACAUCACAUAGAACAUUAGUUCCACCUGCUUGGAACAAAC
rnacentral:lncRNA from 1 species